UGGGUGGAUCAGUGGCGAACGGGUGAGUAACACGUGAGCAACCUGCCCCAGACUUCGGGAUAAGCCUUGGAAACGAGGUCUAAUACUGGAUAUGAGGUCACAUCGCAUGGUGUGGUCUGGAAAGAUUUAUCGGUCUGGGAUGGGCUCGCGGCCUAUCAGCUUGUUGGUGGGGUAGUGGCCUACCAAGGCGACGACGGGUAGCCGGCCUGAGAGGGCGACCGGCCACACUGGGACUGAGACACGGCCCAGACUCCUACGGGAGGCAGCAGUGGGGAAUAUUGCACAAUGGGCGCAAGCCUGAUGCAGCGACGCCGCGUGAGGGAUGAAGGCCUUCGGGUUGUAAACCUCUUUCAGCAGGGAAGAAGCGCAAGUGACGGUACCUGCAGAAGAAGCGCCGGCUAACUACGUGCCAGCAGCCGCGGUAAUACGUAGGGCGCAAGCGUUGUCCGGAAUUAUUGGGCGUAAAGAGCUCGUAGGCGGUCUGUCGCGUCUGGUGUGAAAACUCAAGGCUCAACCUUGAGCUUGCAUCGGGUACGGGCAGACUAGAGUGCGGUAGGGGAGACUGGAAUUCCUGGUGUAGCGGUGGAAUGCGCAGAUAUCAGGAGGAACACCGAUGGCGAAGGCAGGUCUCUGGGCCGCAACUGACGCUGAGGAGCGAAAGCAUGGGGAGCGAACAGGAUUAGAUACCCUGGUAGUCCAUGCCGUAAACGUUGGGCACUAGGUGUGGGGCUCAUUCCACGAGUUCCGUGCCGCAGCAAACGCAUUAAGUGCCCCGCCUGGGGAGUACGGCCGCAAGGCUAAAACUCAAAGGAAUUGACGGGGGCCCGCACAAGCGGCGGAGCAUGCGGAUUAAUUCGAUGCAACGCGAAGAACCUUACCAAGGCUUGACAUACACCGGAAACUUCCAGAGAUGGUUGCCCCGCAAGGUCGGUGUACAGGUGGUGCAUGGUUGUCGUCAGCUCGUGUCGUGAGAUGUUGGGUUAAGUCCCGCAACGAGCGCAACCCUCGUCCUAUGUUGCCAGCACGUGAUGGUGGGGACUCAUAGGAGACUGCCGGGGUCAACUCGGAGGAAGGUGGGGAUGACGUCAAAUCAUCAUGCCCCUUAUGUCUUGGGCUUCACGCAUGCUACAAUGGCCGGUACAAAGGGCUGCGAUACCGUAAGGUGGAGCGAAUCCCAAAAAGCCGGUCUCAGUUCGGAUUGGGGUCUGCAACUCGACCCCAUGAAGUCGGAGUCGCUAGUAAUCGCAGAUCAGCAACGCUGCGGUGAAUACGUUCCCGGGCCUUGUACA
rnacentral:rRNA from 1 species